rfam:Solanum lycopersicum cultivar Heinz 1706 chromosome 10, whole genome shotgun sequence.
GGAGAGAUGGCUAAGUGGUUGAUAGCCCUGGUUUUGAAAAUCGGUAUAAUUUUGAACAAAGAACUAUCGAGGGUUCGAAUCCAUUUCUCUCCU